UACAGAGGGUGCAAGCGUUGUUCGGAAUUAUUGGGCGUAAAGAGCGUGUAGGCGGCCAGGUAGGUCUGCUGUGAAAACUCGAGGCUCAACCUCGAGACGUCGGCGGAAACCAUCUGGCUAGAGUCCGGAAGAGGAGAGUGGAAUUCCUGGUGUAGCGGUGAAAUGCGCAGAUAUCAGGAAGAACACCCGUGGCGAAGGCGGCUCUCUGGGACGGUACUGACGCUGAGACGCGAAAGCGUGGGGAGCGAACAGG
rnacentral:rRNA from 1 species